CGCAAGCCUGACGGAGCAACGCCGCGUGCGGGAGGACGGCCUGUGGGUUGUAAACCUCUUUUCUUAGGGAAGAACCUAUGACGGUACCUAAGGAAUAAGCAUCGGCUAACUCCGUGCCAGCAGCCGCGGUAAUACGGAGGAUGCAAGCGUUAUCCGGAAUUAUUGGGCGUAAAGCGUCCGCAGGUGGCUUAGAAAGUCUGCUGUCAAAGACCGAAGCUUAACUUCGGGCAGGCAGUGGAAACUGCUAGGCUAGAGGCCGGUAGGGGUAGAGGGAAUUCCCAGUGUAGCGGUGAAAUGCGUAGAGAUUGGGAAGAACACCAGUGGCGAAGGCGCUCUACUGGGCCGGUACUGACACUCAGGGACGAAAGCUAGGGGAGCG
rnacentral:rRNA from 1 species